rnacentral:SRP_RNA from 1 species
GCUGGCAUGGUGGCAACCAUCUGUAAUCACAGCUACUCAGGAGGCUGAGGCAGGAGAAUCACUUGAACCGGGGAGGAGGAGGUUGCAGUGAGCCAAGAUUGUGCCUCUGUACUCCAGCCUGGGCGCCAAAGAAAGACUCCAUCUCAAAAAAAAAAAGAGAGAGAAAAAGAGUUUUGCUCUGUCACCCAGGCUGGAGUACAGAGGCACAAUCUUGGCUCACUGCAACCUCCUCCUCCCCGGUUCAAGUGAUUCUCCUGCCUCAG